GAUGAAGAACGCAGCGAAAUGCGAUAAGUAGUGUGAAUUGCAGAAUUCAGUGAAUCAUCGAAUCUUCGAACGCACAUUGCGCCCCUUGGUAUUCCAUGGGGCAUGCCUGUUCGAGCGUCAUUUGUACCUUCAAGCUUUGCUUGGUGUUGGGUGUUUGUCCUGAGGGACUCGCCUUAAAGUAAUUGGCAGCCAGUGUUUGGUUUUGAAGCGCAGCACAAGUCGCGAUUCAAAGCUAUACGCCCGCUUCCACAAGCCUUUUUCACUUUUGACCUCGGAUCAGGUAGGGAUACCCGCUGAACUUAAGCAUAUCCAUAAGCGGAGGA
rnacentral:misc_RNA from 1 species